GUGCAUAAUGUAAAGCAUCACGCAAAGCUGUCUUCGUUUGUGAGCUGCAGUGGCUGCCAUUCAGACCAGUUAUUACUGGGUGAAAGUUACACAUAAUUCAAGAUGGAGCCAGGGCUCCAUCUCCAGUCUGAUCUUCCCAUUCCACCAGCAGCUCCGAGGACGUGUUUAUAGGGACCCUGAGAAUUCUCUGCAUGCCGUUUCCAACACUCGGCUCCAGGAGCAAGGAAAUCCGUGUGACUUCAGGAUUCGGUGGCAAACUCAACCUGCUUUCUCACACUAUCAGUGCCUGAAGUUCCACUUCAAGCUUUUCUUUCACUUCUGUGACCAAACAGGGGCAAUGCCUUUUGACAUCUUAGAGUGGAGAAAGGAGAUGGAGGCACAGAUGAGGUGACAGAGCCCUGCCAGAGUGACCAGAGCCACCAGAGGCCGGG
ensembl:lncRNA